rnacentral:lncRNA from 1 species
ACAUGCAAAACAAAAAACUCUUGACAAAAUGUGGAAGUCCAAAGAAACUUUUGUAAUUUUUGUAUUUAAAGUGAAAUUUUAAAUUAGAACUUGUAGUUCAGUCAUACAUGUAUGUUUUUCUAAUACAGCUUUAAAUCUCCGUUUACUUUUUGGCGACUGUUUACUCAUCAUUUCUUUCAUGUUAAAAUGAUUUAUAACAUACAGCAUAAUAAUUUUUCAUUGCUGGCUCUGGAGCGCUUUCAUUUACAAUUGAAUAUUGUGUAUGUACUUGGUGUGGCAUGCAUGGUGAUGCCGAUGCCAUUUUGAACGACUGAAGCGCAGCAUAAACAUUUGUAUAAACAUAUAAAGUCACAGUUAAAUUUUCUUUACACAAUAGCUCAUCAAAUUGGGAUAAAAUACUGUAAUGCAUAUGCUUAAGAAUAUCCACUAUUCGCGAACAUAAUAACGAAAUAUUAAAUUUCUACAUACGGUAAAUGAUUGCAGUUCAAUUUUUUCCGUUAAAACAUCUUUCAAAUGAGUAUAGAAUACAAUAUUAUUAUUCAUGUGCAAUAACUAGGUUUCAGAGUUACCGUUUUUUUAAAUUUUUGAACUGCUGCCAUCUUGUAACGGAUAUAAAUCUCGAAAUUAUUCUUCAUAUGUGCGCAAUCCUCAUAAAAUUUAGUAUCGUUCAGUAUUUAGUUUUUAAUUUUUUAAAUGCGUAUAGAUAGGCGGUCGGAGGGCCGAGUGGUAACGCUUUCGGCGUGCCAUGCAGAAGACCCGGGUUCGUGUCCCGGUCUGGUAACUCCUGAAAAGAUUUUCGGGGUGCUGAGCCUGGUCCGGAGUUCCCCGUACUACUCCGUCCGGCCCCUCUCAACGGAUGU